UCAUGAUCAUCCUCUUUUACUUUUAUGUAACAGAUAAUCAAUAUUAAAUUUGUAAUGAAGGAAAGAUUUACUUCCCUCCCACUUACAAGUACUCAAAUAAUUCAGACAGAUAUGCGGGGGAUGAUAUGCACCCUAAAGAGAAGAGAAGAACACCUGCAUGGUGUGAUCGGAUAUUGUGGUAUGGUAGAGGCCUUUAUCAAACAUCUUAUGUUCGUGGAGAGUCAAGAUUCUCGGAUCACAGACCAGUCUAUAGCAUAUUUUUGGCUGAGGUUGAGUCUAUUAAUCGUAGUCGAACCAAGAAAGGUAUCGGUUGUUCUAGUUCUAGGAUUGAGGUUGAGGAAUUAUUGCCACAGUCGCUUGGAUACAAUGGCCUUAAUUUCUAUUAAGGAAUGAAUCCACAUUUUAAGGGCAAGGAACGAUCUGUUUUUUGUUCACCAAGAUACAAAAGCAGUUUUAGUGCUUCAGAAUGGAUUUGAGGCAAAUUCUGAAACCCAUGAGAGAAAUUUAAUUUUUCCCAUCAAUUCAACCUGAUCUUGAUGCCUCUUUCAAUAAGGUGAUCACUCAACUUCUCUGAAUUCUUCAUUUUUUCAACCAAAAAAAAAA